rnacentral:rRNA from 1 species
AACGAACGCUGGCGGCAGGCUUAACACAUGCAAGUCGAACGCCCCGCAAGGGGAGUGGCAGACGGGUGAGUAACGCGUGGGAACGUACCUUUCAGUUCGGAAUAACUCAGGGAAACUUGUGCUAAUACCGGAUACGCCCGUAAGGGGAAAGAUUUAUCGCUGAAAGAUCGGCCCGCGUUGGAUUAGCUAGUUGGUGGGGUAAUGGCCUACCAAGGCGACGAUCCAUAGCUGGUCUGAGAGGAUGAUCAGCCACACUGGGACUGAGACACGGCCCAGACUCCUACGGGAGGCAGCAGUGGGGAAUAUUGGACAAUGGGCGAAAGCCUGAUCCAGCCAUGCCGCGUGAGUGAUGAAGGCCCUAGGGUUGUAAAGCUCUUUCACCGAUGAAGAUAAUGACGGUAGUCGGAGAAGAAGCCCUGGCUAACUUCGUGCCAGCCGCCGCAGUAA